AAAUGAAAUUUGGUUUUGCAGCUUAGCAAUUACAAUUCCUUUGAAGGGGUAUUGUACUGCAGGCCGCAUUUUGAUCAGCUGUUUAAGCUAAAUGGCAGCUUAGACAAAAGCUUUGAAGGUACUCCUAAAACAAAACCAGAUAGAACCGUUGAUAGUGAGAAACCUCCUAGCAAAGUCUCUUCCAUGUUUGGUGGAACUAGAGAUAAAUGUGCGGGUUGUUCCAAG